rnacentral:rRNA from 1 species
GCAGCAGGCACGCAAAUUACCCACUCCCGGCACGGGGAGGUAGUGACAAAAAAUAACGAUACGGGACUCUAUUGAGGCCCCGUAAUCGGAAUGAGUACACUUUAAAUUCUUUAACAAGGAUCCAUUGGAGGGCAAGUCUGGUGCCAGCAGCCGCGGUAAUUCCAGCUCCAAUAGCGUAUAUUAAAGUUGUUGCGGUUAAAAAGCUCGUAGUUGGUUCUGCGUGCCGCGCUGUCGGUUCGCCGCCUGUCGGUGUAACUGGCAUGUCGCGGCAUGUCCUGUCGGUGGUGAACGAGGUCUCCGGUGCUGCUGACGGCUAUAUCUAGCCAAAGUUAGUGCCGUGUGUAAUCUCGUUUGCCGAUCUCUCCUACUCCGGUGCUCUUAAACGAGUGUCGAGGUAGGCCGACACGUUCACUUUGAACAAAUUAGAGUGCUUAAAGCAGGCUGAAAUAUCUGCCUGAAUAGUGGUGCAUGGAAUGAUAAAAUAGGACCUCGGUUCUAUUUUGUUGGUUUUAGGAAUAUGAGGUAAUGAUCAAUGUGGACAGGCGGGGGCAUUCGUAUUGCGACGUAGAGGUGAAAUUCUUGGAUCGUCGCAAGACGCACUAGAGCGAAAGCAUUUGCCAAGUAUGUCUUAAUUGAUCAAGAACGAAAGUUAGAGGUUCGAAGGCGAUCAGAUACCGCCCUAGUUCUUACCAUAAACGAUGCCAGCCAGCGAUCCGCCGAUGUUCCUAUAAUGACUCGGCGGGGAGCUUCUACCCGGGAAACCAAAGCUUUUGGGUUCCGGGGGAAGUAUGGUUGCAAAGCUGAAACUUAAAGGAAUUGACGGAAGGGCACCACCAGGAGUGGAGCCUGCGGCUUAAUUUGACUCAACACGGGAAACCUCACCAGGCCAGGACAUUGGAAGGAUUGACAGAUUGACAGCUCUUUCUUGAUUCAGUGGGUAGUGGUGCAUGGCCGUUC